rnacentral:rRNA from 1 species
GGCCGGGCGGCGUGCUAUACAUGCAAGUCGAGCGGACAGAAGGGAGCUUGCUCCCGGAUGUUAGCGGCGGACGGGUGAGUAACACGUGGGUAACCUGCCUGUAAGACUGGGAUAACUCCGGGAAACCGGAGCUAAUACCGGAUAGUUCCUUGAACCGCAUGGUUCAAGGAUGAAAGACGGUUUCGGCUGUCACUUACAGAUGGACCCGCGGCGCAUUAGCUAGUUGGUGAGGUAACGGCUCACCAAGGCGACGAUGCGUAGCCGACCUGAGAGGGUGAUCGGCCACACUGGGACUGAGACACGGCCCAGACUCCUACGGGAGGCAGCAGUAGGGAAUCUUCCGCAAUGGACGAAAGUCUGACGGAGCAACGCCGCGUGAGUGAUGAAGGUUUUCGGAUCGUAAAGCUCUGUUGUUAGGGAAGAACAAGUGCAAGAGUAACUGCUUGCACCUUGACGGUACCUAACCAGAAAGCCACGGCUAACUACGUGCCAGCAGCCGCGGUAAUACGUAGGUGGCAAGCGUUGUCCGGAAUUAUUGGGCGUAAAGGGCUCGCAGGCGGUUUCUUAAGUCUGAUGUGAAAGCCCCCGGCUCAACCGGGGAGGGUCAUUGGAAACUGGGAAACUUGAGUGCAGAAGAGGAGAGUGGAAUUCCACGUGUAGCGGUGAAAUGCGUAGAGAUGUGGAGGAACACCAGUGGCGAAGGCGACUCUCUGGUCUGUAACUGACGCUGAGGAGCGAAAGCGUGGGGAGCGAACAGGAUUAGAUACCCUGGUAGUCCACGCCGUAAACGAUGAGUGCUAAGUGUUAGGGGUUUCCGCCCCUUAGUGCUGCGGCUAACGCAUUAAGCACUCCGCCUGGGGGAGUACGGUCGCAAGACUGAGACUCAAAGGAAUUGACGAGGGGCCCGCACAAGCGGUGGAUGCAUGCGGUUUAAUUUCGGAGCAACGCGGAGAAACCUUACCAGGUCUUUGACAUCCUCUGACAACCCCUAGAGAUAGGACUUUCCCUUUCGGGACAGAAUGGACAGGUGGGUGCAUGGCUUGUCGUCAGUCUCCUGUCUGAAAUGGUGAGUUUAAGUCCACAACACGCAACCUUGAAUCUUAGUUGCCAGCAUUACAUUGGUCACUUCUUA